rnacentral:rRNA from 1 species
GGUUAAGCGAAUAAGCGUACACGGUGGAUGCCUAGGCAAUCAGAGGCGAUGAAGGACGUGCUAAUCUGCGAAAAGCGUCGGUAAGGUGAUAUGAACCGUUACACCCGACGAUAUCCGAAUGGGGAAACCCAGUAUCCAAUGGAUACUAUCAUUAACUGAAUCCAUAGGUUAAUGAGGCGAACCGGGAGAACUGAAACAUCUCAGUACCCCGAGGAAAAGAAAUCAACCGAGAUUCCCCUAGUAGCGGCGAGCGAACGGGGAGCAGCCCAGAGUCUUAAUCAAUAGCAGUGUCAGGAGAACGGUCUGGAAAGUCCGGCAGUAAAGGGUGAUAGCCCCGUAUCUGAAGAUGCUGUUAUUGUGAACUCGACGAGUAGGGCGGGACACGUGUUAUCCUGUCUGAAUAUGGGGGGACCAUCCUCCAAGGCUAAAUACUCCUGAUUGACCGAUAGUGAACCAGUACCGUGAGGGAAAGGCGAAAAGAACCCCGGCGAGGGGAGUGAAAAAGAACCUGAAACCGUGUACGUACAAGCAGUAGGAGCCUCUUUAUGGGGUGACUGCGUACCUUUUGUAUAAUGGGUCAGCGACUUAUAUUCUGUAGCAAGGUUAACCGCAUAGGGGAGCCGUAGGGAAACCGAGUCUUAACUGGGCGAAUGAGUUGCAGGGUAUAGACCCGAAACCCGGUGAUCUAUCCAUGGGCAGGUUGAAGGUUGGGUAACACUAACUGGAGGACCGAACCGACUAAUGUUGAAAAAUUAGCGGAUGACUUGUGGAUGGGGGUGAAAGGCCAAUCAAACCGGGAGAUAGCUGGUUCUCCCCGAAAGCUAUUUAGGUAGCGCCUCGUGAACUCAUCUUCGGGGGUAGAGCACUGUUUCGACUAGGGGGUCAUCCCGACUUACCAACUCGAUGCAAACUGCGAAUACCGAAGAAUGUUAUCACGGGAGACACACGGCGGGUGCUAACGUCCGUCGUGAAGAGGGAAACAACCCAGACCGCCAGCUAAGGUCCCAAAGUCAUGGUUAAGUGGGAAACGAAGUGGGAAGGCUCAGACAGCCAGGAUGUUGGCUUAGAAGCAGCCAUCAUUUAAAGAAAGCGUAAUAGCUCACUGGUCGAGUCGGCCCGCGCGGAAGAUGUAACGGGGCUAAACCAUGCACCGAAGCUGCGGCAGCGACACAAAGUGUUGUUGGGUAGGGGAGCGUUCUGUAAGCCUGCGAAGGUGUACUGUGAGGUAUGCUGGAGGUAUCAGAAGUGCGAAUGCUGACAUAAGUAACGAUAAUGCGGGUGAAAAACCCGCACGCCGGAAGACCAAGGGUUCCUGUCCAACGUUAAUCGGGGCAGGGUGAGUCGACCCCUAAGGCGAGGCUGAAAAGCGUAGUCGAUGGGAAACGGGUUAAUAUUCCCGUACUGGUGGUAACUGCGAUGGGGGAACGGAGAAGGCUAGGUUGUCCGGGCGACGGUCGUCCCGGUUCAAGCAGGUAGGCAGAGUGAUUAGGCAAAUCCGGUCACUUAAUGCUGAGAUGUGAUGACGAACCACCAAGGUGGUGAAGCAAUUGAUGCCCCGCUUCCAGGAAAAGCCUCUAAGCUUCAGGUUACCAACAAUCGUACCCCAAACCGACACAGGUGGUCAGGUAGAGAAUACUCAGGCGCUUGAGAGAACUCGGGUGAAGGAACUAGGCAAAAUGGUGCCGUAACUUCGGGAGAAGGCACGCUGGCGGUAGGUAAAGUCCCUUGCGGACGGCGCCCAAGCCAGUCGAAGAUACCAGCUGGCUGCAACUGUUUAUUAAAAACACAGCACUGUGCAAACACGAAAGUGGACGUAUACGGUGUGACGCCUGCCCGGUGCUGGAAGGUUAAUUGAUGGGGUUAGCGCAAGCGAAGCUCCUGAUCGAAGCCCCAGUAAACGGCGGCCGUAACUAUAACGGUCCUAAGGUAGCGAAAUUCCUUGUCGGGUAAGUUCCGACCUGCACGAAUGGCGUAAUGAUGGCCAGGCUGUCUCCACCCGAGACUCAGUGAAAUUGAACUCGCUGUGAAGAUGCAGUGUACCCGCGGCAAGACGGAAAGACCCCGUGAACCUUUACUAUAGCUUGACACUGAACAUUGAGCCUUGAUGUGUAGGAUAGGUGGGAGGCUUUGAAGUGUGGACGCCAGUCUGCAUGGAGCCAACCUUGAAAUACCACCCUUUAACGUUUGAUGUUCUAACCUAGGCCCAUAAACUGGGUCGGGGACCGUGUCUGGUGGGUAGUUUGACUGGGGCGGUCUCCUCCUAAAGAGUAACGGAGGAGCACGAAGGUUGGCUAAGCAUGGUCGGACAUCAUGCGGUUAGUGCAAAGGCAUAAGCCAGCUUGACUGCGAGAGUGACGGCUCGAGCAGGUACGAAAGUAGGUCUUAGUGAUCCGGUGGUUCUGAAUGGAAGGGCCAUCGCUCAACGGAUAAAAGGUACUCCGGGGAUAACAGGCUGAUACCGCCCAAGAGUUCAUAUCGACGGCGGUGUUUGGCACCUCGAUGUCGGCUCAUCACAUCCUGGGGCUGAAGUAGGUCCCAAGGGUAUGGCUGUUCGCCAUUUAAAGUGGUACGCGAGCUGGGUUUAGAACGUCGUGAGACAGUUCGGUCCCUAUCUGCCGUGGGCGUUGGAAGAUUGAGAGGGGUUGCUCCUAGUACGAGAGGACCGGAGUGAACGCACCACUGGUGUUCGGGUUGUCAUGCCAAUGGCAUUGCCCGGUAGCUAAGUGCGGAAGAGAUAACCGCUGAAAGCAUCUAAGCGGGAAACUUGCCUCGAGAUGAGUCUUCCCUGUCGCUUUAAGCGACCUAAAGGAACGUUUAAGACUAAGACGUUGAUAGGCUGGGUGUGUAAGCGUAGUGAUACGUUGAGCUAACCAGUACUAAUGAACCGUGAGGCUUAACCUG